rnacentral:rRNA from 1 species
UACGAAGGGGGCGAGCGUUGUUCGGAAUUACUGGGCGUAAAGGGCGCGUAGGCGGCCGAUCAAGUCAGAUGUGAAAGUCCUGGGCUUAACCUGGGGACUGCAUUUGAUACUGAUUGGCUUGAAUGCAGGAGAGGAUAGCGGAAUUCCCAGUGUAGAGGUGAAAUUCGUAGAUAUUGGGAAGAACACCGGUGGCGAAGGCGGCGACCUGGUCCGACACUGACGCUGAGGCGCGAAAGCGUGGGGAGCAAACAGG